rnacentral:rRNA from 1 species
GGUUGAUCCUGCCAGUAGUCAUAUGCUUGUCUCAAAGAUUAAGCCAUGCAUGUCUAAGUAUAAACGAAUCUAUACAGUGAGACUGCGGAUGGCUCAUUAAAUCAGUUAUAGUUUAUUUGAUGGUUCCUGUUUUCUCCAUUUUGGAUGCUUAUCCUCGCUACUUGGAUAACCGUAGUAAUCCUAGAGCUAAUACAUGCGCGAGGUCCCGAUCGAGGGGAGGCGCUCGCAAGGGCGUCUCGCUCCCGAGAGGGACGUAUUCAUCGGACCGAAAACCGACGCGGGGCACCCCAAA